rnacentral:misc_RNA from 1 species
UACGUAGGAGGCAAGCGUUGUUCGGAAUUAUUGGGCGUAAAGCGCGCGUAGGCGGUCUGUUAAGUCUGAUGUGAAAGCCCCCGGCUCAACCGGGGAGGGUCAUUGGAAACUGGCAGGCUUGAGUGCAGAAGAGGAGAGUGGAAUUCCAGGUGUAGCGGUGAAAUGCGCAGGGAUAUGGAGGAACACCAGUGGCGAAGGCGGCUCUCUGGUCUGCAACUGACGUUGAGGUGCGAAAGCGUGGGGAGCAAACAGG